CUCAGCAAAAGCGCGGUAGAAGGGAGGGCUGAGUUAACUGCCCUGCUCUGUCUCUCCGUCCUUCUGGAGACUCUAUGGAUACCCAAUUUGACUUCAGACCGCCCGCACUGUAAUUAGGCAGAGGUGGGCGGAGCCAGGGGCAGCGGGCGCGUGCGCAUCACCCUACCGAGCGCGCCGGAAGGACGUAGUCUGGUCUGGGCCUGCGGACGGAAGUGCUUGGGUUCCCGGGGCGGUCGCCAUGGCUACCGAGCCGGUGACUGCUGAGCCUGAGAUACCGUCGCUGGUGGAUCGUUACUUCACUCGCUGGUACAAAGCCGAUGUCAAAGGAAAACCUUGUGAAGACCACUGUAUCCUACAGCACUCUAACCGAAUAUGUGUCAUCACAUUGGCUGCUUCUCAUCCAGUUCUUCAAAGUGGAAAAACAAUACAAAGUAUUUCCUAUCAGAUCAGUACCAACUGUAGCAGACUUCAGAACAAGGUUUCUGGGAAAUUCAAGCGGGGAGCACAGUUUUUAACAGAACUUGCACCUCUGUGUAAAAUUUACUGCUCAGAUGGGGAAGAAUAUACCAUAUCUAGCUGUAUUAGAGGACGUUUGAUGGAAGUAAAUGAAAACAUUCUCCAUAAGCCAUCUAUUCUUCAAGAAAAGCCUUCCACUGAAGGCUACAUUGCAGUUGUAUUGCCCAAAUUUGAAGAAAGUAAAAGCAUAACAGAAGGUUUAUUGACACAAAAACAGUAUGAUGAAAUUGUGGGAAAACGAAUGGAUGCCACAACAGCUACAUCUUGAGGACUGAAAUGGAGUAGAAGUGAUGGAAGAUUCAUAACCUUACCUGGCCAACCUUAUCAGUGCACUGAAGGAGAAGCAGUAACUGUUGGAAGGAAGAAGCAGAUGUACUUACUUAAGCAAAUGUACUCUCCUUACUCCAUUGAAAUGGCCUUCCUCUGACUUAGAUGAGAGACAAGAAAAGGCUUUGAAAAGUACAAAGGACUUUGCUAGCAAGUAAAACUGUUAGAAUGCACUAUUAAACAGGUUCUUGCAAAUACAUUGCAAUCACUAGUCUCACACCUUUUAGUUUCAGUUAUCUUUAGAUAUAUCUAAUAAAGACUUCACUGGGAACAUUUUAUUCAGAGGGGCUGGAAUUGAACAAAGACAUUCACAUCAUUAAAUUUAGGA